CGCUGGCGGCAUGCCUUACACAUGCAAGUCGAACGGCAGCGCGGGGCAACCUGGCGGCGAGUGGCGAACGGGUGAGUAAUAUAUCGGAACGUACCCUGGAGUGGGGGAUAACGUAGCGAAAGUUACGCUAAUACCGCAUACGAUCUAAGGAUGAAAGUGGGGGAUCGCAAGACCUCAUGCUCCUGGAGCGGCCGAUACCUGAUUAGCUAGUUGGUAGGGUAAAAGCCUACCAAGGCAUCGAUCAGUAGCUGGUCUGAGAGGACGACCAGCCACACUGGAACUGAGACACGGUCCAGACUCCUACGGGAGGCAGCAGUGGGGAAUUUUGGACGAUGGGCGCAAGCCUGAUCCAGCAAUGCCGCGUGAGUGAAGAAGGCCUUCGGGUUGUAAAGCUCUUUUGUCAGGGAAGAAACGGUGUUUUCUAAUACAGAACGCUAAUGAUGGUACCUGAAGAAUAAGCACCGGCU
rnacentral:rRNA from 1 species